GCCUGACAGUCACAGGUACAUACAAAACUACCCCCAUAGGUACAUACAAAAUUACCCUCACUCAUUCACCUGACAGUCACAGGCACAUACAAAACUACCCCCCUUGAUCCAGAUGACACACCUGGCCUGACAGUCACAGGUACAUACAAAACUAUCCCCACUGAUUCACCUGUCACACCAGGUCUGACAGUCACA